GACGAACGCUGGCGGCGUGCCUAAUACAUGCAAGUAGAACGCUGAAGGAGGAGCUUGCUUCUCUGGAUGAGUUGCGAACGGGUGAGUAACGCGUAGGUAACCUGCCUGGUAGCGGGGGAUAACUAUUGGAAACGAUAGCUAAUACCGCAUAAGAGUAGAUGUCGCAUGACAUUUGCUUAAAAGGUGCAAUUGCAUCACUACCAGAUGGACCUGCGUUGUAUUAGCUAGUUGGUGAUGUAACGGCUCACCAAAGCAACGAUACAUAGCCGACCUGAGAAGGUGAGCGGCCAACAUGGGACUGAGGCACGGCCCAGACUCCUACGGGAGGCAGCAGUAGGGAAUCUUCGGCAAUGGAGGGAAGUCUGACCGAGCAAAGCCGCGUGAGUGAAGAAGGUUUUCGGAUCGUAAAGCUCUGUUGUAAGAGGAGAACGAGUGUGAGAGUGGAAAGUUCACACUGUGACGGUAUCUUACCAGAAAGGGACGGCUAACUACGUG
rnacentral:rRNA from 1 species